GACGAACGCUGGCGGCAUGCCUAACACAUGCAAGUCGAACGGAGUUCCUUUGAUGGAGUCUUUCGGGAUGAAAUUGAUGGAACUUAGUGGCGGACGGGUGAGUAACGCGUGGAUAACCUGCCCUUUUGUGGGGAACAACCUCGAGAAAUCGAAGCUAAUACCGCAUACGCUUGAGAAAUCACAUGAUUUUUCAAGGAAAGAUGGCCUCUGAAAAUGCUAUCGCAAAAGGAUGGAUCCGCGUCUGAUUAGCUAGUUGGUAGGGUAAUGGCCUACCAAGGCGACGAUCAGUAGCCGGCCUGAGAGGGUGAACGGCCACAUUGGGACUGAGACACGGCCCAG
rnacentral:rRNA from 1 species